rnacentral:sRNA from 1 species
GUGCGGGAGCGAUAGAAACGGCAUCCUUUUUGCGAAACUGUAAAUGCAAAAACCUCUGUUUUUUGAAGCUAUUAAUUUGAAAGGAAAAAACUUUAAGGUGCUUACAGGGCGCCUCGCAAAAAGAUAUAGUGGAUAGCGCGGUUUUUA